rnacentral:tRNA from 4 species
AAGGGAGACCUAAUUCAGGUAGGAGACGAAAAAAAGUAGUCCCUACCAAGAAUCAAUCCCAAAAGGUCGGAGCGAGGCAAAAUUGGCUUUCAAACUAGGUUCUGGGUUCACAUAAGACCUGAAUCAGGAACAAGGGCUAUUAGCUCAGGUGGUUAGAGCGCACCCCUGAUAAGGGUGAGGUCCCUGGUUCGAGUCCAGGAUGGCCCACCUGCACAGGUGGCAAAAACAAAGAAAAGAAGCUCCGAAUCAGCACCUUAUCUUACUCAUAUAGUAAGUAAGAGAGAAUGCUGGCUCUGAGUUCAGAGUCCAGAGGAACCUUGAAAACUGCAUAGAGCUAGGUGAAAAAGCCAAAAAAGAAGACCGCAA